GGUUGAAACAAAUGUAGAGAGCUUAUAAAAACGAAUAUUUUUUUUUUCUAAUCUAAAUUAUCAUGUAUCAUUGUACCCUUGUUUGUCCAGUUAUUAUUAGCCUGUGGGUUCAAACUCAAAACUCAACCUCAAAAUUCAAGCAUUAGCACCGUGUCAAGCAUCAAGGAGACAUAAAUCAAGAGCGGGAGCAGCAGCAGAAAAAGCUGAAACCGUGGUGGGUCGACCAACACUGCGCUAUCCGGUGCAGGGUCGCCAUUCCAGCACAUUGGGUUCCCAACGUCCAUCAGCUCUUCGAACCAUGUGGCCUGCCCAUUGCCACUUCAGCUAAGCGACUCGCUGAGCUAUAUCAGUGACUUUGGUUCGUCUGCGGAUCUCCUCAUUUCUGAUUUAUUAUAUUACGAAUUAUUGGAACAAAAUAUCUUUGAUAUUAAUAACUUGAUAGUUACGAA